AACCCUCGCUGUGUGUUACAAGUGUCACACGGAACUGCCGGUCGAUAAACCGGAGGAAGGUGGGGAUGACGUCAAGUCAGCAUGGCCUUUAUAUCCUGGGCUACACACACGCUACAAUGGGAAGGGACAAUAGGUUGCGAAGCCGCGAGGCGGAGCCAAUCCAGCAAAACUUCCCUCAGUUCAGAUUGCAGGCUGCAACUCGCCUGCAUGAAGUUGGAGUUGCUAGUAAACGCAGGUCAGCCAUACUGCGUUGAAUACGUUCCCGGGGCUU
rnacentral:rRNA from 1 species